AGUACGUAGUGCACGAAGUGUACUGUCUGGAAGUGCACUAAGGGAAGUGCGCGAUUUGGAACACACUAUUAGUAUCCCAGAAGAUGAAAGAUACAUUCCAUUAUCGGCAAAAGAUGCUCCAUGACCCACAGCAAACGGCAGACAUACUUCAAAUGUUUCCUCGUUUUUUGGACACUAAGGGAGUGAUUUUGCAAGACUUCUUGAUGAUGUUUGGAGCAGAGACUGCUUCCAGGUUCCUGGAAAAAUGGAACACCAGUUUUAAAGACAAAGUCAUUCAGAGAGACGUCUCUCCUGAGAAAACAGCUGAAAUCUGCCCUGAAUGAAGAAUCUGACACUGCUGACGGGCCAGAGUGGGACAGCGACAUGGCAUCUCUUCUUGUAUUGCUCCAUCUGCUAACCCUCAACCAGCUGGAAGGAAGCGGCCCAGAAAGAUCAGUGUUGGAGAGGCAGCUGAUCAUUUGGUUAAAUUUCACAAGUCAUGCCACAGUCUUGAAGAACACCUCAUGACGAUCGAAGGAAACCCCCAGCCGUAUCUGCUGGCCACAGGGACCUCAAAAGCACAGGUUUUCAGCUUCUACACAGUCUUGGAUAGAAAGCUUCUUCCAUGUCAGUCUUCUACAUCCCUGGGCGCAUUUGAUGAGCUGUUCAAGUCCCACUUUGUUUUCAGUGUGCAAUAUGAUGAUGCUCUGUCGAGCUUGUACAGAUUCCUGCAGACUACUCUGUACAAUAUCGACAUAGGGACAACAGAAGAAACUCCAAGAGUCAAAGAGUUAAGAGCAAAGCUGUUAAACAAGCGGUAAUUUGCUAAAGCAGCAAACAUGUUCAGAUGUGGCCUUUGUGCUUCUUCCUUUGAGACAGCUUUACUUCUGUUCAGGCACCUCAAACUAAUUCAUGCAAUGUACCCUGGAAAAAAAUUUGAGACUAAAAUGUGGUCAAAUAGGAUGUUGCUAAGUUAUUCUGGAUUUAGAAGACAUCUAAUUAAGGUACAUGAUCCUACUGACAACACAUAUGUACCUCAUGAAAACCUCUUCCAACUGUGACACUCAACUGUACAAUCCUCCUCAGUGCUUGAAUGAUGAAACACCCUCUA